GAUGAACGCUGGCGGCGUGCCUAAUACAUGCAAGUCGAGCGAACGGACGAGAAGCUUGCUUCUCUGAUGUUAGCGGCGGACGGGUGAGUAACACGUGGAUAACCUACCUAUAAGACUGGGAUAACUUCGGGAAACCGGAGCUAAUACCGGAUAAUAUUUUGAACCGCAUGGUUCAAAAGUGAAAGACGGUCUUGCUGUCACUUAUAGAUGGAUCCGCGCUGCAUUAGCUAGUUGGUAAGGUAACGGCUUACCAAGGCAACGAUGCAUAGCCGACCUGAGAGGGUGAUCGGCCACACUGGAACUGAGACACGGUCCAGACUCCUACGGGAGGCAGCAGUAGGGAAUCUUCCGCAAUGGGCGAAAGCCUGACGGAGCAACGCCGCGUGAGUGAUGAAGGUCUUCGGAUCGUAAAACUCUGUUAUUAGGGAAGAACAUAUGUGUAAGUAACUGUGCACAUCUUGACGGUACCUAAUCAGAAAGCCACGGCUAACUACGUGCCAGCAGCCGCGGUAAUACGUAGGUGGCAAGCGUUAUCCGGAAUUAUUGGGCGUAAAGCGCGCGUAGGCGGUUUUUUAAGUCUGAUGUGAAAGCCCACGGCUCAACCGUGGAGGGUCAUUGGAAACUGGAAAACUUGAGUGCAGAAGAGGAAAGUGGAAUUCCAUGUGUAGCGGUGAAAUGCGCAGAGAUAUGGAGGAACACCAGUGGCGAAGGCGACUUUCUGGUCUGUAACUGACGCUGAUGUGCGAAAGCGUGGGGAUCAAACAAGAUUAGAUACCCUGGUAGUCCACGCCGUAAACGAUGAGUGCUAAGUGUUAGGGGGUUUCCGCCCCUUAGUGCUGCAGCUAACGCAUUAAGCACUCCGCCUGGGGAGUACGACCGCAAGGUUGAAACUCAAAGGAAUUGACGGGGACCCGCACAAGCGGUGGAGCAUGUGGUUUAAUUCGAAGCAACGCGAAGAACCUUACCAAAUCUUGACAUCCUUUGACAACUCUAGAGAUAGAGCCUUCCCCUUCGGGGGACAAAGUGACAGGUGGUGCAUGGUUGUCGUCAGCUCGUGUCGUGAGAUGUUGGGUUAAGUCCCGCAACGAGCGCAACCCUUAAGCUUAGUUGCCAUCAUUAAGUUGGGCACUCUAAGUUGACUGCCGGUGACAAACCGGAGGAAGGUGGGGAUGACGUCAAAUCAUCAUGCCCCUUAUGAUUUGGGCUACACACGUGCUACAAUGGACAAUACAAAGGGCAGCGAAACCGCGAGGUCAAGCAAAUCCCAUAAAGUUGUUCUCAGUUCGGAUUGUAGUCUGCAACUCGACUACAUGAAGCUGGAAUCGCUAGUAAUCGUAGAUCAGCAUGCUACGGUGAAUACGUUCCCGGGUCU
rnacentral:rRNA from 1 species